rnacentral:misc_RNA from 1 species
AAGACUAUAGACCUGCGGAGUACCUGCGGAAGGAUCAUUAUUGAAUUAUGUUUCUAAAUGGGUUGUAGCUGGCUCGUCAGAGCAUGUGCACGCCUGUUUGGACUUCAUUUUCAUCCACCUGUGCACCUAUUGUAGUCUUUGGUUGGGUAUCAAGGAAGUGGUCAGCCUAUCAGCACUUGCUGGAUGUGGGGACUUGCAGUGUGAAAGCUUUGCUGUCCUUUACUUGAUCAUGGAGUUGUU